CUCAAUUUUAGAAGGCAGUAAACAGUCAAACAAUAACAAAAAUAAAAUCAAGGUGUACUUAAUUCUAGGGGAACGGCGUGCGUGCCGCUUGAAUAAAUUAAUGAAACGACUUUGUUCGAGUAGCAGGUGACUGAGCAGUGGUUUUUGGAUAUACAGUUAUGUAGAGUGUUCAAUUGUAUAGCAAGCUUGUGGUUACAGUUAUGAUCUGCAUGUGGGUAAUUAAAAUGUGUCUGGAGUGUCAAGCUUAUCUGCUGGAUAAAUGCACAAUGUUGGAAUGUUGGCCGUGGAAAGACAACUCAUACCAAAUAUGACUUGCAAGCAACUAGAAUCAAUUUGGCAAUAUUUGCUCCACACAUUUUAGAUAAGGCCAAUAUCUAUGUCUUAUAUGCGAUAAUUGAUAGCAGACGUGCUACAAUUGGCAAAUGCAUUGGCAACUUGUCCAGCGCAGAAAGAACCAAACAAACAAAGACAGAAAAAGAAGAGAGCUGAUUAUUUGUCUAUCGAUGUUAUCAAAGCACACUCUGUUAUCGAUGUAAUCUAACGAUUGCUCUUUCUUAAUUGCGCUCACCUUUCAUAUGCAUGAAUAUCAUCUUCUGGCGCUCCGUUAUCGAUUUGCUAAGCAGAGGUUCUCGCUUAUCCUUCGGUAUGUUCAUAUCCUCGA